GCCUUUAUAGCUCAGUGGUAGAGCGUUGCACUUGUAAUGCAAAGGUCCAUAGUUCAAUCCUGUGCGGGGGCA
rnacentral:tRNA from 1 species